UACGGGGGGAGCAAGCGUUGUUCGGAUUUACUGGGCGUAAAGGGCGCGUAGGCGGCCACCGCAAGUCAAUUGUGAAAUCUCCGGGCUUAACUCGGAAAGGUCAACUGAUACUGCGGGGCUAGAGUGCGGAAGGGGCAACUGGAAUUCUCGGUGUAGCGGUGAAAUGCGUAGAUAUCAAGAGGAACACCUGAGGUGAAGACGGGUUGCUGGGCUGACACUGACGCUGAUGCGCGAAAGCCAGGGGAGCAAACGGG
rnacentral:rRNA from 1 species